CACAAGCCUAUUUAACGAGCCUACUCACAAGUCAGCUCGCGAGCCUGUAAUGAGCUGGUUCGCGAGCCUUAACAAACCGAAUACUAAGCUUGAGCUCGGCUCACUUAUUAAACAAGCCUAAAAACUAAGCUUAAGCUCGGCUUAUUUUUAAAGCGAGCUGAAUUGAGCCGAGUCUCGAAUAGCUCACGAACAGUUUGGUUCGUUUAUUAUAGCCUUACAUAUGGCCUAAGAAAAAGUAAAUCAUUCUCAUGUAUUAUUUUGAUACACAAACAAAAAGAAUCAAGAAAACUAGAAAGCUAUGCAUCAAUAAAAUUUAAAAAUUCUAUUUCUUACCUAGUAGCAUUAAAAUCAAUUAUCAAUUUCUUUUAGUAAAGUGAAAAGUAUCCUCACUCAAAACCAUCAAUAAUCAUAAGUUGCUUGGGGCAAAUGGUGAAAUCCAAAGGUUAAAUUGUCAAAAGAAUAGUGAACAAAAUUCCUUGUACUCUGUCAUUCAAAUUUCUGAUUAGAAAGAUAAGAAUGUGAGCUGGAAGUGGUAAAAGCUAUCUGAUCUCAGACCUUACAGAAAAUUUGGUUUUGGAAACAGCAAAAUGAGAAAAAGGAUCCAUGUGAUGACCUGCCCAGAUUGAGUUGGAUAGAGCAGACUCGAGCAAUUUAAAAUUGAAUAUCAUGCAUCCUCAAGAAGUCUACUCCUAGUGAACAGUAUAAAUUAAAGGUAAAUAAACAAAAUGGAGUAUUCUAUUAGAAAAUAAAGUCAAGAUUAGUUGUGUCACUCCAACAUAUAACAGAAGGAUAAAAGGCCAAUUUGGCCAUU
rnacentral:misc_RNA from 1 species